rnacentral:tRNA from 1 species
GCGGGUAUAGCUCAACGGUAGAGCACUGGCCUUCCAAGCCUGUGAUACGAGUUCGAUCCUCGUUACCCGCU